GCGCACCCUCGCUGUGUGUUAUAUGUGUCACACGGGACUGCCGGUCUUAAGCCGGAGGAAGGUGGGGAUGAUGUCAAGUCAGCAUGGCCUUUAUAUCCUGGGCUACACACACGCUACAAUGGCCAACACAAUAGGUUGCUAAGCCGCGAGGUGGCGCCAAUCCAUAAAGUUGGUCUCAGUUCAGAUUGUAGGCUGCAACCCGCCUGCAUGAAGAUGGAGUUGCUAGUAACCGCAGGUCAGCUAUACUGCGGUGAAUACGUUCCCGGGGCUU
rnacentral:rRNA from 1 species